UACGGAGGGUGCAAGCGUUAAUCGGAAUUACUGGGCGUAAAGCGUGCGCAGGCGGUUUGUUAAGUCCGUUGUGAAAGCCCCGAGCUCAACUUGGGAAUUGCAGUGGAUACUGGCAGGCUGGAGUACGGUAGAGGAAGGUGGAAUUCCCGGUGUAGCAGUGAAAUGCGUAGAGAUCGGGAGGAACACCGAUGGCGAAGGCAGCCCCCUGGGAUGAUACUGACGCUCAUGCACGAAAGCGUGUGGAGCAAACAGG
rnacentral:rRNA from 1 species